UGCAAGCGUUACUCGGAAUUACUGGGCGUAAAGCGUGCGUAGGUGGUUUGUUAAGUCUGAUGUGAAAGCCCUGGGCUCAACCUGGGAAUUGCAUUGGAUACUGGCAGGCUGGAGUGCGGUAGAGGGUAGUGGAAUUCCCGGUGUAGCAGUGAAAUGCGUAGAGAUCGGGAGGAACAUCCGUGGCGAAGGCGACUACCUGGACCAGCACUGACACUGAGGCACGAAAGCGUGGGGAGCAAACAGG
rnacentral:rRNA from 1 species